rnacentral:rRNA from 1 species
CGAGCGAGCUUGCCUAGAUGAUUUUAGUGCUUGCACUAAAUGAAACUAGAUACAAGCGAGCGGCGGACGGGUGAGUAACACGUGGGUAACCUGCCCAAGAGACUGGGAUAACACCUGGAAACAGAUGCUAAUACCGGAUAACAACACUAGACGCAUGUCUAGAGUUUGAAAGAUGGUUCUGCUAUCACUCUUGGAUGGACCUGCGGUGCAUUAGCUAGUUGGUAAGGUAACGGCUUACCAAGGCAAUGAUGCAUAGCCGAGUUGAGAGACUGAUCGGCCACAUUGGGACUGAGACACGGCCCAAACUCCUACGGGAGGCAGCAGUAGGGAAUCUUCCACAAUGGACGAAAGUCUGAUGGAGCAACGCCGCGUGAGUGAAGAAGGGUUUCGGCUCGUAAAGCUCUGUUGGUAGUGAAGAAAGAUAGAGGUAGUAACUGGCCUUUAUUUGACGGUAAUUACUUAGAAAGUCACGGCUAACUACGUGCCAGCAGCCGCGGUAAUACGUAGGUGGCAAGCGUCGUCCGGAUUUAUUGGGCGUAAAGCGAGUGCAGGCGGUUCAAUAAGUCUGAUGUGAAAGCCUUCGGCUCAACCGGAGAAUUGCAUCAGAAACUGUUGAACUUGAGUGCAGAAGAGGAGAGUGGAACUCCAUGUGUAGCGGUGGAAUGCGUAGAUAUAUGGAAGAACACCAGUGGCGAAGGCGGCUCUCUGGUCU